UACGGGGGGGCAAGCGUUGUUCGGAAUUAUCUGGGCGUAAAGGGCUCGUAGGCGGCCAACUAAGUCAUACGUGAAAUCCCUCGGCUUAACCGGGGAACUGCGUCUGAUACUGGAUGGCUUGAGUUCGGGAGAGGGAUGCGGAAUUCCAGGUGUAGCGGUGAAAUGCGUAGAUAUCUGGAGGAACACCGGGUGGCGAAGGCGGCAUCCUGGACGGACACUGACGCUGAGACGGCGAAAAGCGUGG
rnacentral:rRNA from 1 species